UCCACACUUCAUAGUUGCAUGGUCGAUCUCGUUGACUACUUGCCGGGGACGAAGUUGGUGGCGAAGGCCCACGCAUUGUUGUUGACAGGGUCAGCAAGGUGGUCGGCGAGGUUCUCAAGUGGGCCCUUGCCGGUGACAAUGGCCUGUACAAAGAAGCCGAACAUGGAGAACAUGGCGAGACGGCCAUUCUUGAUCUCCUUCACCUUGAGCUCUGCGAAUGCCUCGGGGUCGUCGGCAAGGCCGAGUGGGUCAAAGCUGCCGCCGGGGUAGAGAGGGUCAACGAUCUCGCCGAGCGGGCCACUGGCAACACGGUAUCCCUCGACGGCGCCCAUGAGAACGACCUGGCAGGCCCAAAUGGCGAGGAUGCUCUGGGCAUGGACGAGGCUCGGGUUGCCGAGGUAGUCAAGGCCCCCCCUCAGUGAAGAUCUGAGAGCCGGCCUUGAACCAGACGGCCUCGCCGAACUGAACACCAUUGCGGGCGAGAAGCUCAGGGAAGACGCAACCGAGCGCGCCAAGCAUGGCCCAACGACAGUGGAUCACCUCAAGCUCGCGGUUCUUGGCAAAGGUCUCGGGGUCCGCUGAGAGCCCGGCGGUGUCCCACCCAUAGUCGCCGGGAAACUCACCGGUUAGGUAACUCGGGGGCUCGCCAGAGAGCGGGCCGAGGUACAGCACACGGUCGGAGCCGUACCACGGGCUGCUCGAGGAGAUUGGCUUGGCCUUGGCGGCGGUCUUGCGCAUGGUGCCCCGGCCUCACCGAAGAGAGUCGAUGACGGCAUGUUCUUCACCGUCUUGCCAGCGAAGGCCGAAGAAGAGAGAGACAUGGUAGUGGCUGCCAUUGCGCUAGCUCUUAAAACGGUGGUGGUCGAACUCUAUGCUUCUAAUAGUAUUCUGUGAGUGUGAAGGACUGAAGAUGGAUUCAGAAGGGAGGAGGAGGGAGCUACUUAAAGAAGUGAGAAGAGAAGACAGAGGGAAUUGAUCUGUGCUGGCAAGAGAGACACAGCCUGAGAAAUCUGAUGCCACCAUCUCAUUGGUGCAGCGGCCAUCCGGGUACAGUUGGCGCAGGGACAUCCUCAAGGGGAUGGGAUAUAGUCGUGGGUAGGGCUUGGGGAUUCUGCAUGUGCACUACAAUUUGUUGUACAACUAAUAAGUUAUUGAGUUUAAUCAGUUAUUGAGGAUUCUGCAUGUGCACUUACAAUUUGUUGUACAACUAAUAAGUGUUAAUUUGCUUCCUCCGAAGGUAAUAGUCAAAAGAAGUUUUUUGUUGGUAAACUGAUAGUAAACAUGCUCGAUCAACAUGUAUUGUCCACAUAUGGAGUUAAAAAUGAAUUAGCCAGUCGUGGGGCCAUAAUUUAGCCUUUGCUCAUGUACAUAGUAACUUUAUAUAAUCCGUGCUUUUAUAGUAUUGACCGUGACGGGGUGAAACCAGAUGGCACGAUCCACCUGUAAGAACAAAAGGAUUCGGGUUAAAAGCUUUAGUGGGAUCAUUAGUGACUGAACUUUUGCUAAAUGGGGUCAAAAAAGAAAUCACACUAAAUGAAACCAAAGCUGUAAGAAACAUAAAUUGAGGGGUCAAAAAAUAGAAUUCACUCUUUUAUGAACGUGUGAGGAAAGAAAUUAUUUCAUAAUUAAUGAAAAUAAAAGUCAGCGGAAUGGGGAACAUUGUUACGCGAGGUUAUUGGGUUUGAGUAAUUUAGAUGAUUGUUUUUAAUCUUUGCUUGUAUAAUAAAAACAUCAUUUUUAUUUUGGCGUGCAGAAAAGAUGACAGAUAGAUCUUGUGAUCACAGAUAUGAUGCUCUAAUUGUUGCCUCUGAGUUUCUGUAUUCUAUAUCCGGGAAGCAGCCCCAUGCGUGCCCUGCAAAAUUAGUAUGACUAAGAUUGUUAUUUUUGUAUAUACUUCCUUGUUAAUUGGGAUCUUUCUUAUCGACCAAAUCACCUAAUCCCAUCAAAAUUCUUUUAUGUCCUUUUCAUUGGCCUGGGUAUUUCUAGAUUUUGUAGUUAGUUCUGGAAUAUCCAUCCCUGAAAAAGGAAUGCGGUACACGUCAUUUUUACGGUAAGUUUGUUCACUUCCACGAGAGUAUGUAUUGCUCUGAUAAAACAUUGGGGGACAUCACAAAGUGUCUACUUCAAAAUCUGACAAUCUUUUGUUCAUAAGAUCCUCGUAAUUAAUUUACAUCAUCAUCGUGGUAGUACAAGUGAAACCAGCUACACACACUUGGUCGCGAGCAUAGUCGAUUUGCAUAUACACAUGUGCCUCUCAUUGACACCUUACUUGCCGGGAACGAAGUUGGUGGCAAAGGCCCACGCGUUGUUGUUGACGGGGUCGGCAAGGUGGUCAGCGAGGUUCUCAAGGGGACCCUUGCCGGUGACGAUGGCCUGAACGAAGAAGCCGAACAUGGAGAACAUGGCGAGGCGGCCGUUCUUGAUCUCCUUCACCUUGAGCUCAGCGAACGCCUCAGGGUCGUCAGCCAAGCCAAGGGGGUCGAAGCUGCCGCCGGGGUAGAGAGGGUCGACGAUCUCACCGAGCGGACCACCAGCAACACGGUACCCCUCGACGGCGCCCAUGAGCACGACCUGGCAAGCCCAGAUGGCGAGGAUGCUCUGGGCAUGGACGAGGCUCGGGUUGCCAAGGUAGUCGAGGCCGCCCUCGCUGAAGAUCUGGGAGCCGGCCUUGAACCAGACGGCCUCGCCAAACUUGACGCCGUUGCGGGCAAGCAGCUCGGGGAAGACGCAACCGAGCGCGCCGAGCAUGGCCCACCUGCA
rnacentral:lncRNA from 1 species